rnacentral:rRNA from 1 species
UACAGAGGGGGCAAGCGUUGUUCGGAAUUACUGGGCGUAAAGGGCGCGUAGGCGGCCUGUUAAGUCGGACGUGAAAUCCCUCGGCUCAACCGGGGAACUGCGUCCGAUACUGGCGGGCUUGAAUUCGGGAGAGGUCGGUGGAAUUGGGGGUGUAGCGGUGGAAUGCGUAGAGAUCCCCAAGAACACCAGUUGCGAAGGCGGCCGACUGGACCCAUAUUGACGCUGAGGCUCGAAAGCAUGGGGAGCAAACAGG